CCUACGGGAGGCAGCAGUGGGGAAUAUUGGACAAUGGGGGGAACCCUGAUCCAGCGACGCCGCGUGAGUGAAGAAGUAUUUCGGUAUGUAAAGCUCUAUCAGCAGGGAAGAAAGAAAUGACGGUACCUGACUAAGAAGCCCCGGCUAACUACGUGCCAGCAGCCGCGGUAAUACGUAGGUGGCAAGCGUUGUCCGGAUUUACUGGGGGUAAAGGGCGGGCAGCCGGGAAGACAAGUCAGAUGUGAAAUCCCGCGGCUCAACCGCGGAACUGCAUUUGAAACUGUUUUUCUUGAGUACCGGAGAGGUCAUCGGAAUUCCUUGUGUAGCGGUGAAAUGCGUAGAUAUAAGGAAGAACACCAUUGGCGAAGGCGGAUGACUGGAUGGCAACUGACGGUGAGGCGCGAAAGCGUGGGGAGCAAACAGGAUUAGAUACCCUGGUAGUC
rnacentral:rRNA from 1 species